rnacentral:rRNA from 1 species
AUGGCGUCCGGCGAGAUCAGGGCGGCGGCCGGAGCCAUGGCGCGGCAGCUGAGGCUCGACGUCGCGGAGGCGGGGUCGUCGUCGUCCGAGCUGGAGCGGCUCGUCCGCUUCAUCAGGGAGCUCAGUGUCAAGCCCAGAAAUAGAAUCAAUGAAGACUAG